rnacentral:lncRNA from 1 species
GUGGUCGAGAAGACAAAGUUAAGCAUGAAUCUUCACUGUAUCAUAUUCAAACUUUUUCAUAAGCCAAAGCUUUCUUUAUUGAGAAGAAUUCUUGGAAAGUCUAAUGUCAAUGCAUAUGUUAGUUUUGCCAUUAACUAUUUUGUGAGUUUUUCAUAGGCGUAUGAAUAUGAGUGGUCAAGACGCUAAAGUUAAGCAUGAAUCUUCACUGUAUCAUAUUCAAACUUUUUCAGAAGCCAAAGUCUUCUUCACCGAAAAGACUUCUUGGAAAGUCUUAUGUCAAUGGAUAUGUUAGUUUUCCCAUUAACUAUUUUGUGAGGUUUUCAUAUAAAACUUCUAGAAGUUUGCUAAAUAUUCUUGUAACAAAAAAUCGAGUAGGCUACCCGGAUAAUCUUCAAAAGAACGAACUUAGUUUUGCAAUUGACCAAAAAUUUAAGAAAUUUGAAUUUUUCAUAGAAAACUUCUCGAAAAGUAUUCUGUGAGAAAACUUC